rnacentral:rRNA from 1 species
UUCAAAAAUAGGUCUCAGUUCGGACUGUAGGCUGCAACUCGCCUACACGAAGUUGGAAUUGCUAGUAAUCGUGGAUCAGCAUGCCACGGUGAAUACGUUCCCGGGUCUUGUACACACCGCCCGUCACACCAUGGGAGCUGGUAACACCCGAAGUCAGUAGUCUAACCGCAAGGAGGACGCUGCCGAAGGUGGGAUUAGCGACUGGGGUGAAGUCGUAACAAGGUAAC